rnacentral:snRNA from 1 species
GUGACAGAAGUAUAGAGAGC